AACAAGUGGCACCACCCCACAGUCUGGCACCUGAGGCAGCCGUCUCAGUUCGCCUCAUGGCUCCCAAUUAGUCUUUGCCUGCUCAUGUGGUCCAGAGAAGUAAUCCCAAAUCUUGCCCUUUCUGAAGAUACGUUAAGACUAAUCUUCAAAAUGAGCUCCAAGGCAUGUCCACUCAGAUAUGAAGGAAGGUUUAAAGCAGUGGUAUGUGACCCUGAAGACCUCAAGAGUCACUUCCAUGGAGUAGAGUUGCAAUGUAAUACAUGCUGGAGUCCUGAUGCUGUUGUGUGCAGGGUGAUACUGUCAUCCCAUCUUGAUACAGCAGCACAAUAAAAGCACCACAAAACAA